GGAUGCGAUCAUACCAGCAGUAAAGCACCGGAUCCCAUCAGAACUCCGAAGUUAAGCGUGCUUGGGCGAGAGUAGUACUAGGAUGGUUGACCUCCUGGUAAGUCCUCGUGUUGCAUUCC
rnacentral:rRNA from 1 species